UCCAGCCCCCGGCAUGCCCCGCGCGGGGAGCAGGGCCACUCUGUGGGACGCGCCCAGCUCCCUACUGCCCCAACCCUGCUGAGGGAGCGCGGCGCAGGUACCGAGCCGAGAGCGCACUGCCGCCCCACUGUCGGAACCGCCAGGCCCCCCUCGCCUCACGCGCCACCUACCGGAUAGCAAGGCGGCGACGCGGGAGGCCCCUGACAGACCCAGCAGCGGGAGCGAGGGGACAAACGAUAAUGCUGACUCAAAGAUGUUAAAUGCACCAUUAUUGUUUAUGACUUGACAACUCUGAUACUGAUUGUGCUAAUAAGAUGCCUCCUUUGCCAUCAGAGGUAUUUGUGUAUGAAUAUCAGCAGCCUCCUCCCCAUUUAUGUUCUACCUGCUCGCAACCACUUGAUGUAAACCUUAUCCUUUCCUCUGUGCUCCCAGGAAAAUCUUAUUAUAGGAUUGGCGACAAGCGUUGGCUGUGGCGUGAGAUCUAAGGUACAAUUGAUCUGGAGUAAGUGACUGGUCCUUUGGAACUGGGAGUAACCUGAAUAUUGCUGUGAUUCUGGGUGUAAGGGACCUUCUAUCACACAGGACAGGUAAGCUUACCUGGGUGGCAAAAGAGACUAUUGGGAGUAUCCAUGGGGACUAUCUGUGACCCCAUGUUUAGGCUAUUACAGAGCCUUAAGAAUUUACACUUGUGUGGAAACAGAGUUAAAGGAUUUAAAUAUAGGCCUCUCCAUUGUAAGAAACAGCAAUUGUCAUACUAAGUCUUAUCCUAAUAUUGCGGGACCUGUAGAAGCAGGGCUCAUGUCAGAAGCGGGUGGGAAGACAGCAGAGUAGAGUCAGCAUGACUCAGCCUUGAGAUAGCGAUGUUUUGAGAACAGAAGUGAGAAAAUAUAGGAAUGGGCAGGACAUAACAUAAACAAACUGCAGAUGUUUUUAAUUAAUGCAUGCCAUUAAAAUGUAUAAAUGCUUGUGUGAUAUUGCUUGUACUUUGAAGAAACUGAGGCAGAGAUGCUCUCUGUCAGCUGUGUUCUUCCCUUGCAAUUGCAUGUCCUGAAUAAAGCUGUCUCUAACUUCGUUGCUUCCAACCUGAGAGUGGAGUUCGUUUCUUCCACAUUUGAUAACUGAUUGGUGAAACCUAAGUACAGAACUGUAACAGGGGAAACCUCACCUGAGAGCCUCCUAUCAGCUGGGUGCGGUGCUGCAAUCUUUUUUUCCUCC